rnacentral:rRNA from 1 species
UACUGGCAGAACGAGUGGUGCCCGCGAAUAUUGGGUCUAAAGAGACCGUAGCUGGCCUGCUAAGUCCACUGUGAAAUCUUGGGGCUUAACCUCAAGGCGUGCAGUGGAUACUGGUAGGCUUGAGAGCGGGGGAGGUCAGGAGUACUUACGGGGUAUGGGUAAAAUCAGUUGAUCCUGUAAGGACUACCAGUGGCGAAGGCGCCUGACCAAAACGCGUCUGACAGUGAGGGUCGAAGGCUAGGAGAACGAAUCG